GACCAGUUAGUUCAGUGGUUUGAGCGCGGUGCUGACAACAAGGACCAACACCAAGGUCGCAGGUUCGAUUCCCUGCUCAGGUCC
rfam:Apaloderma vittatum contig17228, whole genome shotgun sequence.